rnacentral:rRNA from 1 species
AAUGAACGUUGGCGGCGUGGAUUAGGCAUGCAAGUCGAGCGAGAACCCGCAAGGGGGACAGCGGCAAACGGGGUAGUAACGGGUAGGCAACGUACCCUUCGGAUGGGGAUAGCCACGGGAAACUGUGGGUAAUACCCAAUAAUCUCUCUGAUAAUCAUCGUUAGAGAGCAAAGGUGUGAUUCCACCGGAGGAGCGGCCUGCUUCGUAUUAGCUAGUUGGUGAGGUAACGGCUCACCAAGGCGACGAUGCGUAGGGGGUGUGAGAGCAUGACCCCCACCACUGGGACUGAGAUACUGCCCAGACACCUACGGGUGGCUGCAGUCGAGAAUCUUCGGCAAUGGGGGAAACCCUGACCGAGCGACGCCGCGUGUGGGAUGAAGGCCCUUGGGUUGUAAACCACUGUCAGAGGGGAUGAAGUGCGGGAGAGCAAUCUCUUCCGUUUGACAUAGCCUCAGAGGAAGCACGGGCUAAGUUCGUGCCAGCAGCCGCCGUAA